rnacentral:rRNA from 1 species
UACGUAGGGUGCAAGCGUUAAUCGGAAUUACUGGGCGUAAAGCGUGCGCAGGCGGUUUUGUAAGUCUGUCGUGAAAUCCCCGGGCUCAACCUGGGAACUGCAUUUGUGACUGCAUGGCUAGAGUUUGUCAGAGGGGGGUGGAAUUCCACGUGUAGCAGUGAAAUGCGUAGAUAUGUGGAGGAACACCGAUGGCGAAGGCAGCCCCCUGGGAUGUGACUGACGCUCAUGUACGAAAGCGUGGGGAGCAAACAGG